CAACCCAGUGCUAGUCCGCCCUCGCAGGGACCUGUCCUCUCGCCUGACCUAUGAAGUCCGUCCCUGCCUCCAAGGCUCCAACAAAGUCCUUCUUUCCCCCAGAGUAGCAGUUCUCAAACUUGAGUGCAUCAGCAUCACCCAGAGGCUGUAUUCAAACACGUUGCUGGCUCCCUCCAUGGUUUCUGAUUCUGUGGGUUUAGGGUGGUGAUGCUGAUUCCUCUGGUCAAAGGACCAUCCCUGGAGAGCCACUGCCCUUUAGGUAACGAUUUUCCCCUCAUUUUUCUUCUGAACUCGGUCAGCACCUUGUUCAGCCUCCCACUGAGCCUGGAACCCUUGACAGCUGGGGAAACAGCAUGUGAUCUUUCUUUUUUUCACUCCACCUUUCCCCCAUCAAAUGAGGAAGGAAAGCUCAAGCAGUUUACUAUUUUGGGGAAAUUGUGCCAUCGUGCCUAGUACAUAGUGUGUAUCAGACUUAAGAAAAGGACAAGAAUGAAACUAUUAAAAAAAUUUCUCCAACUGGCAAUUAAAAGACAAUGGGAAAACUGCUUCUAUGUUUAAGAAAAAAUAAUUUAACUCUUAAUUUUAUUGCCACUUAUCUACUUUUGACCAUAUAUUGAGGACUCCCCCCACCUUCCACCACCAGUGGAACUGGGGAAUAAAACAACAAAGAUUGAAGAUGUGAUGGAGAAAAGAGUGGAAACAACUCAAGACAGUGAUGAAGGGGAAUCUCAUGAAAUCAUCUGUGUUGCAAAUCUAGAGAGGUAUGAUGUACCGCAGUGGAGUAACUGGAUGGAUGGAAUUCACCUAAAAGGAGAUAUUCAGGGAAAAACAAAACAAACAAAAAACAAAAAUAAAAACAAAAAAUGCUCAAACUAUUACACUAGGUU
rnacentral:lncRNA from 1 species